UUCGCACCUUCUGAUGGCGGAGCCCUCGGCCCCUUGGCCAUUUUCUCCCCACACCCCUCCAAGCCAGGACCUGGCGGGUGCCCUGAGAGCUGGGGUGCCUGCGCGUUGCCUGGAUUGCAAGAGCUGGCCCUGAACGGAGAUCCCCGGCAAUCAGUAACAGGGCAGUAAGGUCACCAGUGGGCAGCACUGAAUUCCUGCUCCCUGAGGGGAAGCUGAACCUUUAUUUCCCUGCUAUGCACAAUCCUGUUUGUUUCCUUCAUCUCUGAUCUGAAUUUUCCCCUGCCAUUGCCCUGAAUUCUUGGUGUCUCAUCCUAUGAACUUCCAGGAGUGAAACCCUCUGUCGCUGGCAAAGCCUAUGGCUGCGCCCACCACUCAUUUCCAUUUCUCUAGGGCAGGACAACAAGCUUCUCUCAGUUCUUAAGCCACCCCUUCCUUCUGAUACAAGUUUGAUUCCCAAAAGCCUUCUGGCUACCAUUAAUCUUUUCAAACCAACGGUCGCGUCUUAACCAUCUCCUUUCCUCUUACUAAUUAGGGUCACCACCUCUGAGAUGCAGAGAAACGGGCCACUGCCCUGCCUAUCACCGGCCAGACCUCCUUUCCCCUCUCUGGCAUUCGUGAACACACACCAGCCCAAUCUUCCUUUUCCCUUCUUAGGUGCCCACCCCCAGACUGACCCCCAGCCCAUAAGCCCCCACAUCUAUGCCUUCCCAGGAGCCUCUGCCUCCCCCACCCUGGUCCCCACUGUUUCCUGCUCCGUAAUAGCAAGCCUUGGGUCCAUCUGUCCUGCUUCACAAUCCCAUCUUUCUCACUUCCCAGUGCCAGGAGGAGCGGGAGCCUCAGCCACCACGGUUUGGGCAUACUGAGGGACCAGCGCACAGAGCAGGACUUGGAUGCGGCACUCCCAUCCAUGUGACGUAUGUGGUAGUUAGAAGUUUGCAGCACAGCCAGUUGUGCUGCUGCAUGUGUGAAUAGCUGACAGAUGAGAGAAAAUACAAAAUAAAAACAUAGCAACCAGCAAGGCAAUAGAAAAACCAUCCAAACCAGUCGGAAACUGGCUAGGUAGCAACCCUGUUACUAAUAUAACACAUCAUUACUUAUGGAAUAACAACUGCCAACACUUGGAAAGAACUUUUCACCUGAAGGACUAGAAGUACUUCACAAACAGUGUAACUGAUUGGAACUGUUCAUCAAGGCAUAAUAUCUCAGAUCUGUUGGCCCCUGUAUGAUGAGAGGGAGUAAAAAGCAAUACAAAUGUACUUAAAGUCAGCAGAUAUGACUGUCUACACAGAAAGAGCUGCAUUUUUGUUGUACAAGAUUAUGUGUGAUAAACAUUUUUCACAUGUAUGAUUUGGAUGUGGGCUGUCACAGCGCUAUCUUGGUAUUUUACUAAUCUCCAUUUACAAUUUACGAUCUCCCAUUACAAUCUGCAUUCAGAUUACAAAGAACAUCAUCAGCAUUACCAGAUCUUGUGAUAUUUCACAUAUUUUAAAGUCCCAGCUCCUGGAGGCAACUAAUUACGUGAGGAUCUCAGUUUCCUUUAAAAAAGUAAGUUUCUCCUCCUGGUGGAGGAGAAAAGCCUGAAUAAAUCACCUGUGUGCACUCUAAAGGCUCAAUAACCGGAAGGCAAAAUAAAAAAAAUCUCAUGAUUUUUGAGGCCUUACUCCUGAUUCUUGAAUGCUUGGGCUUGACAGUACUGCACUAGAAAUACAGAGAGCACUUGUUAUGAAUUGAGAUGAACUUUGUAGCAUAGUUUAAGUAAUUGCUCCCUCUGGUGGCUGUCACACUAUAAAUUUAUAGAUUUGUUUUUUAACCAAAAUCUCUGUGUAGCUCAUUGAGCAAGGUGCCUGCCUGAUUUGGAUACGAAAGCACUUUACAGUUAACAUUUUUGU